UGAGCCGGGCUGGGCUCAGCCUGUGCCUCUCCUUAGGAAAGUCACUCUGAUUGCUGUGCCCGGGUGUCACCAGGGCAGCAGCACCAGCAGACUCUGGAAGCCUUUGCGGGGUGUUGAUGCCAAGGGCCCACACACAAACCUAAUGGAAGGAACAGACAAUUAGGACACUUGUAGAUGUACUGAGUAUCUCAGGUCACUGGGGUCAGAAAGACAAGAGAUGGCUGCUGCUACUUUGCAAGGCUUCUGUUUGCUGGUGGCCCAUGAUGCCGUGUCACUGCGAGGGUGCUUCAAGGUGCAAUGAGGCUUGAGAUGCUUUGAGAGAUGAAGAAGCCACCUGAGGUACUGAUGCACUGUCUGAAUAAAAAGAAACAAGCAGAA